GUCAGUGUGUCUGUGAGUGUGUGAGUAUGUGUCAGUGUGAGUGUGUGAGUGUGUGUCUGUGAGUGUGUGAGUAUGUGUCAGUGUGAGUGUGUGUCUGUGAGUAUGUGUCAGUGUGAGUGUGUGUCUGUGAGUAUGUGUCAGUGUGAGUGUGUGUCUGUGAGUGUGUGAGUAUGUGUCAGUGUGAGUGUGUGUCUGUGAGUGUGUG